rnacentral:rRNA from 1 species
GGGGAAUAUUGGACAAUGGGCGAAAGCCUGAUCCAGCCAUGCCGCGUGUGUGAAGAAGGUCUUCGGAUUGUAAAGCACUUUAAGUUGGGAGGAAGGGCUGCAAGUUAAUACCUUGUAGUUUUGACGUUACCAGCAGAAUAAGCACCGGCUAACUACGUGCCAGCAGCCGCGGUAAUACGUAGGGUGCGAGCGUUAAUCGGAAUUACUGGGCGUAAAGCGUGCGCAGGCGGUUUUGUAAGACAGGCGUGAAAUCCCCGGGCUCAACCUGGGAACUGCGCUUGGGACUGCAAGACUAGAGUACGGCAGAGGGGGGUGGAAUUCCACGUGUAGCAGUGAAAUGUGUAGAGAUGUGGAGGAACACCAAUGGCGAAGGCAGCCCCCUGGGUCGAUACUGACGCUCAUGCACGAAAGCGUGGGGAGCAAACA